GGGGCGAAAGACUAAUCGAACCAUCUAGUAGCUGGUUCCCUCCGAAGUUUCCCUCAGGAUAGCUGGCGCUCUCGCACGCGAACCCACGCAGUUUU
rnacentral:rRNA from 1 species